rnacentral:rRNA from 1 species
UGCCAGCCGCCGCGGUAAUACGUAGGGGGCAAGCGUUAUCCGGAUUCAUUGGGCGUAAAGCGCGCGUAGGCGGUCUGUUAGGUCAGGAGUUAAAUCUGGGGGCUCAACCCCUAUCCGCUCCUGAUACCGGCAGGCUUGAGUCUGGUAGGGGAAGAUGGAAUUCCAAGUGUAGCGGUGAAAUGCGCAGAUAUUUGGAAGAACACCGGUGGCGAAGGCGGUCUUCUGGGCCAUGACUGACGCUGAGGCGCGAAAGCUAGGGGAGCGAACAGGAUUAGAUA